rnacentral:rRNA from 1 species
ACGAACGCUGGCGGCAUGCCUAACACAUGCAAGUCGAACGAGACCUUCGGGUCUAGUGGCGCACGGGUGCGUAACGCGUGGGAACCUGCCCUUAGGUUCGGAAUAACUCCCCGAAAGGGGUGCUAAUACCGGAUAAUGUCUUCGGACCAAAGAUUUAUCGCCUUUGGAUGGGCCCGCGUUGGAUUAGCUAGUUGGUAGGGUAAAAGCCUACCAAGGCGACGAUCCAUAGCUGGUCUGAGAGGAUGAUCAGCCACACUGGGACUGAGACACGGCCCAGACUCCUACGGGAGGCAGCAGUGGGGAAUAGUGGACAAUGGGCGAAAGCCUGAUCCAGCAAUGCCGCGUGAGUGAUGAAGGCCUUAGGGUUGUAAAGCUCUUUUACCCGGGAUGAUAAUGACAGUACCGGGAGAAUAAGCUCCGGCUAACUCCGU